rnacentral:rRNA from 1 species
UACGUAGGGAGCAAGCGUUGUCCGGAAUCAUUGGGCGUAAAUCGCGCGUAGGCGGCCCCGUAAGUCCGCUGUGAAAGUCAAAGGCUCAACCUUUGAAAGCCGGUGGAAACUGUGGGGCUAGAGUCCGGAAGAGGCGAGUGGAAUUCCUGGUGUAGCGGUGGAAUGCGCAGAUAUCAGGAGGAACACCGAUGGCGAAGGCAGCUCGCUGGGACGGUACUGACGCUGAGGCGCGAAAGCGUGGGGAGCGAACAGG